AUUGAACGCUAGCGGGAUGCUUUACACAUGCAAGUCGAACGAGUGGCGGACGGGUGAGUAAUAUAUCGGAAAGUGCCCAGUGGCGGGGGAUAACUACUCGAAAGAGUGGCUAAUACCGCAUACUAUUGGAGCGGCCGAUAUUGGAUUAGCUAGUUGGUGGGGUAAAGGCUCACCAAGGCAACGAUCCGUAGCUGGUUUGAGAGGAUGACCAGCCACACUGGGACUGAGACACGGCCCAGACUCCUACGGGAGGCAGCAGUGGGGAAUUUUGGACAAUGGGCGAAACCCUGAUCCAGCCAUCCCGCGUGUAUGAGAAGGCCUUCGGGUUGUAAAGUACUUUUGGCAGAGAAGCGGUAUCUGCAGAAUAAGCACCGGCUAACUACGUGCCAGCAGCCGCGGUAAUAC
rnacentral:rRNA from 1 species